GCCAUGGCUAAUUGGAAUAGAGGAGACUCUCAAGAGAAUAGAGUCCAAAGUGGAUUCCAUUACAUCCCAACUCAAUCGGACGAGGAGAUAUGUAGAGUCAAGAGCUACCAACCUAUUAAGAAGGAGGCAAAACUCGAAGUUUCUACUCCGGUUGUCCAUAAUGUUGACUUGACUGGCAUGUACGCUAGCAAGACGUCACCAAGUAUGCGAGGGAAGUUUUAGGCCAGCUUUUCUCGAAGAAAGAACUGAGCCAAGCCAUAUUCAGAAAAAUUGGUCCGACUUCACGCAAAGCGCUUUCUCUGACUCAAUGCAAUAGUGUUACGAACUGUCUUGAGAAGCUCUACUCCAAGGAGAUGUUGGAGAAAAAUGAGAUGGUCAUAUGGGAAAGUCUCAAUCAAAAGUGUAGGGAGGCAGGAGUAGCUGUCAAGUCGAAAGCUGAAUCAGAUCUAGAGGGACUACCAUCAAUAGGACGCAAUCUUUGCAGCUCAGAGGAGGAGGAUUAGAGAACUACGCAGUAGAGGCUAGAGUAUAGCUAUACCUAGAAGGUUAUUGUGUUUGAGAGUUUCAUGAAGAAUAGAAGGUGUAUGUAUACAU